UGGGGCUAUAGCUCAGCUAGGACAGCGCCUGCUUUGCACGAAGGAGGUCUGCGGUUCGAUCCCGCAUAGCACUACCC
rnacentral:tRNA from 1 species